rnacentral:rRNA from 1 species
CGAGAGUUUGAUCCUGGCUCAGAUUGAACGCUGCGGCAUGCUUACACAUGCAAGUCGACGGUAACAGGUCUUCGGAUGCUGACGAGUGGCGAACGGGUGAGUAAUACAUCGGAACGUGCCCGAGUCGUGGGGGAUAACGAGGCGAAAGCUUGCUAAUACCGCAUAAGAUCUAUGGAUGAAAGCAGGGGACCGCAAGGCCUUGCGCGAACGGAGCGGCCGAUGGCAGAUUAGGUAGUUGGUGGGGUAAAGGCUUACCAAGCCUACGAUCUGUAGCUGGUCUGAGAGGACGACCAGCCACACUGGGACUGAGACACGGCCCAGACUCCUACGGGAGGCAGCAGUGGGGAAUUUUGGACAAUGGGCGCAAGCCUGAUCCAGCCAUGCCGCGUGCAGGAUGAAGGCCUUCGGGUUGUAAACUGCUUUUGUACGGAACGAAAAGCCUUCUUCUAAUACAGGGGGGUCAUGACGGUACCGUAAGAAUAAGCACCGGCUAACUACGUG